UUGACGCGCGCCCAACGCCAUUUUGCUAAUGUCAGUGAACGUGAAAAAACCGGAGCGAAAUAUGCCAAAUUGAAGUGAAUUUACGUGUAAGAAGUGGUCAGAAACGUGGAAUGUAAUUAAGGAUAAUGUUACUUUUCAUCUAUUUCUAAAAGCUGCUGUGAUUCGGGAUGUUUGGAUUCGAUCUCCGAAUGCGAAUCAUGUUUCAUGGACUCCUAAACGGACUAGCACUAACUAGUGUUUCUGCGUUAAAAUAAAUGUAAAUAUUUGUAAAUAAAUGAUGUAAAUGAACGA